GAUGAAGAACGUAGCGAAAUGCGAUACUUGGUGUGAAUUGCAGAAUCCCGUGAACCAUCGAGUCUUUGAACGCAAGUUGCGCCCGAAGCCAUUAGGCCGAGGGCACGCCUGCCUGGGUGUCACACGUCGUUGCCCCCCCAUCUACUCCUUCGGGAUUGCGGGGGGCGGAUGAUGGCCUCCCGUGCGCCUCGUCGCGCGGUUGGCAUAAAUGCCAAGUCCUCGGCGACGCACGCCACGACAAUCGGUGGUUGCGAAACCUCGGUUGUCCGUCGUGUGCGGUCGUCGCGCAUCGAGGGCUCGAAAAAAUUGCCGGGCUCCGGCUCGGCUUUCAACGCGACCCCAGGUCAGGCGGGGUUACCCGCUGAAUUUAAGCAUAUCAAUAAGCGGAGGA
rnacentral:misc_RNA from 1 species